rnacentral:rRNA from 1 species
UGGGGAAUAUUGCACAAUGGGCGCAAGCCUGAUGCAGCCAUGCCGCGUGUAUGAAGAAGGCCUUCGGGUUGUAAAGUACUUUCAGUCGGGAGGAAGGUGGUAAGGUUAAUAACCUUAUCAAUUGACGUUACCGACAGAAGAAGCACCGGCUAACUCCGUGCCAGCAGCCGCGGUAAUACGGAGGGUGCAAGCGUUAAUCGGAAUUACUGGGCGUAAAGCGCACGCAGGCGGUUGAUUGAGUCAGAUGUGAAAUCCCCGGGCUUAACCCGGGAAUUGCAUCUGAUACUGGUCAGCUAGAGUCUUGUAGAGGGGGGUAGAAUUCCAUGUGUAGCGGUGAAAUGCGUAGAGAUGUGGAGGAAUACCGGUGGCGAAGGCGGCCCCGUGGACAAAGACUGACGCUCAGGUGCGAAAGCGUGGGGAGCAAACAGG